AGCAGCCGCGGUAAUUCCAGCUCCAAUAGCGUAUAUUAAAGUUGUUGCAGUUAAAAAGCUCGUAGUUGAAUUUCGGGAUCAGUAUGUUGGUCGUGCUUCGGUACGUACUGUCAUUACUGGUUUCUACCUUCUGAAGAACCUUGAUGUCAUUAAUUUGGUGUCUUGGGGAAUCAGGACUGUUACUUUGAAAAAAUUAGAGUGUUUAAAGCAAGCAUACGCUUGAAUACAUUAGCAUGGAAUAAUGAAAUAGGACGUUUGAUUCUAUUUUGUUGGUUUCUAGGAUCGACGUAAUGAUUAAUAGGGAUAGUUGGGGGCAUUAGUAUUCAAUUGUCAGAGGUGAAAUUCUUGGAUUUAUUGAAGACUAACUACUGCGAAAGCAUUUGCCAAGGAUGUUUUCAUUAAUCAAGAACGAAAGUUAGGGGAUCGAAGACGAUCAGAUACCGUCGUAGUCUUAACCAUAAACUAUGCCGACUAGGGAUCGGAUGAUGUUAUUUUUAAUGACUCAUUCGGCGCCUUAC
rnacentral:rRNA from 1 species